rnacentral:rRNA from 1 species
UACGAAGGGUGCGAGCGUUAUUCGGAUUUACUGGGCGUAAAGGGCGCGUAGGCGGCUUCUCAAGUCACUUGUUAAAGACCACUUAAACCGGUGGGGAUGCGAGUGAAACUGGGAGGCUAGAGGGUAAGAGAGAGAAGUGGAAUUCUUGGAGUAGCGGUAAAAUGCGUAGAUCUCAAGAGGAACACCGAUGGCGAAGGCAGCUUCUUGGCUUACUACUGACGCUGAGGCGCGAAAGCGUGGGGAGCAAACAGG